AGGGUAGUGGCGCAAUUGGUAGCGCAUCGGUCUCCAAAACCGGCGGUUGGGGGUUCGAGUCCCUCCUACCCUG
rnacentral:tRNA from 5 species